UACACGCACGGUAACGACGGAAAAGGAGAAACAAGUGUGAGACACGGGGAAGGCAUGGACAUACAAACGCACGCGUCUGGGAGAAGGGGCCGCACCGUGACACAAACGAAAGAUUACUGUCUCAGCCUGUGAGAGAGGCGUGGGCAUUGGCACAAACCCAGAGCCUGAAAAGACAGAGACGUGUCCUCUGAAGAUGACCUAAGUGGCGGUACAACAGGACAUGGUUGUCCCCUGAGCGCACCAGCUGAAUAGCCUGAAUUAGCCCGGAGGUGUUACAUGAUGUAUUGCGGCUCAAUAAUAGCGGAAAUGAUGGCUGUCUCUGGAGGAGGAGGAGGAGGAGGAGGAGGAGGAGAACCCCCAGAGCCAUGUGAGGCUGGCAUGCACAAUCAACAUUCCUCCCUUUUCUCUGGAACGCACUAUGAGGACUCUGACUUUCCGGAUAUGAAAUCCGUCACUCUCAUUGCGCCAAAUACUCCUGCUAUGUUAUGGGAGAUAUAAACUCUGCUUGCUGCCAAUUUUUAUUGCCCUAAAAAGAAAAGUUCUUAGUGCUUUUCACCAUGCACUCCUACUCCUUCCUCACUACUUUCUUCAGCCGUAGACCCAUGGCAGUGUGACAGAAACCACAUAGGUAUGCGACCACUAAGAUCUCUUAAUGCGUUUUAUGGAUACAUGAGGAAAUCCAGGAAAUGCGAUACGAUAAUCUACACCUUGUGCGAUUAAUGUUAUUCAUAAUUUAAAAAAAAAACAUUGUUUAUUUAGAAGCCAUGUAAUUUGUUUGUGACAGCUUUAACCAUCACCAGACGCCAGAUUGCAGAUGACAUGGAAUUUACAUAUACAACCAGUCUCUUAUACGACCUUUGUUCAUUUUUCUAAAGCAGUCAUUGACUGCCACUGACAAAAUCAGGGUGUGGGCGCACGUUUGGCCUCAUGCAAGUCACUUACCAAAGGUUCAGCAAUAAGUAGUGAGUAAGCGUACCGUAAGCCUCUUUGCAUAAAUAUUUCCUCCUCGAUAAUAAAAAUGAUACAAUACUGAAAGAUACAACAGCUAUAAUCUGGUCCCUAAUCCAAACAGACCUGAACACGUUAGCUGCAUUACACACAUAUAGCCUACAUACACAGGCAGGCCUAUUUACUUUAAAAAUCUACAUUAUGUUUUAGGGACUUUUAAAUACUGCUUUGAGUACCGUUAUUAAAGCAUCAUCGUGUGCAGGGUGUUAGACAAUGCCUGGAAACUGCGCGCGCAUAUAAUGCAGUCCCAGCGGCAGCGACUUAUGAAUCCGCGCAUGCAAAACCACAUUUCUCAGCUUUGCUGUUGAACAAUCUUCCAUUUCCCUGUGGGCAAAUCAGCUUGCUAUAUCCUGUAACGGUAUGGGACAAGGAAGCAUUCCUUCCACAGCUUUGUCCCGUAUUCGUCCAUGACAAUGAUCAUUUCAGCACAAUUCUUUGUUAAAACUGUGAUGGUUUUUUUUAUUGAAAGUUGGUUCAUACGUCACUAAAAUAACACCAUUUUCUCAGUAGUUUGUUCUCUAUGUAAAAGUUAUGCAUAAUCCUUUGCCCAGUUCAACCCCAGGCAAGGUAACGUUACCCGGUCACGUUCAACCCCACGCUGGGUAACGUUACCCGGUCACGUAUAGCCCCAGGCGGCCCGACGUUACCCGGUCACGUAUAACCCCAGGCGGCCCGACGUUACCCGGUCACGUAUAACCCCAGGCGGCCCGACGUUACCCGGUCACGUUCAACCCCAGGCUGGGUAACGUUACCCCGUCACGUUCAACCCCAGGCUGGGUAACGUUACCCGGUCACGUUCAACCCCAGGCUGGGUAACGUUACCCGGUCACGUUCAAACCCAGGCGGCCCGACGUUACCCGGUCACGUUCAAACCCAGGCGGCCCGACGUUACCCGGUCACGUUCAACCCCAGGCGGCCAGACGUUACCUGGUCACGUUCAACCCCAGGCGGCCUGACGUUACCCGGUCACGUUCAACCUCAGGCUGGGUAACGUUACCCGGUCACGUUCAACCCCAGGCGGCCCGACGUUACCCGGUCAUGUUCAACCCCAGCCUGGGUAACGUUACCCGGUCACGUUCAACCCCAGGCUGGGUAACGUUACCCGGUCACGUUCAACCUCAGGCUGGGUAACGUUACCCGGUCACGUUCAACCUCAGGCUGGGUAACGUUACCCGGUCACGUUCAACCCCAGGCGGCCCGACGUUAUCCGGUCACGCAAAACCCCAGGCUGGGUAACGUUACCCGGUCACAUUCAACCCCAGGCGGGGUAACGUUACCCGGUCACAUUCAAUCCCAGGCUGGGUAACGUUACCCGGUCACAUUCAA